rnacentral:ncRNA from 1 species
UUCAUCCACUAGGGGUGCUCCGUUGGGAGCUGAGAAAGGGUGUUCAACCCUUAACCCUUUGAACCUGAUCUGGAUCAUACCAGCGUAGGGAAGUGGAUCGGAGGAUAC